ensembl:lncRNA
GGGGGGGGGGCGCUACGCGGCCGACGCGCAUGCGCGUGCGGGACCCGGAUUGCGCCCCCCGGGCGGAGCUGAGGGGAUGGCAGAGGAGGGGGCGGCGGGACGGGACGGAGUGGGAUGGGGGCAUGGAUGGGGGGUCGGGAUGGGGUAUGGGUGGGUAUGGGGUGGUGUGCUGUAGGUUGGGGUAUGGGGUGAGGGUGGGAGGGGGAUGGGAUGGGGAUGAUUCAGGUUUGGGAUGCGUAUGGGAUGGGUAUGGGAUUGAUAUGGGAUGGGUAUGGUGUAGGUAUGAUAUAGGUAUGGAAUGGGUAUGGUAUAGGUUUGGGAUGAGUACGGUAUGGGUAUAGGAGGGGUAUGGGAUGGGUACGGUAUGGGUACGGUAUGGGUACGGUAUGGGUACGGUAUGGGUAUGGGAUGGGUAUGGGAUGGGUAUGGGAUGCAUACGGUAUAGGUUUGGGAUGGGUAUGGUAUAGAUAUAGCAUGGGUACGGUAUAGGCAUGGUGUGGGUACGGUAUAGACAUGGGGUGGGUAUGGGAUGAGUAUGGGAUGGGAAUGGUAUAGGUUUGGGAUGAAUAUGAUAUAGGCAUGGGAAGGGUAUGGUAUAGGUUUGGGAUGGGUAUUGGUUGGGUGUGGGAUGGGAAUGGGAUGGAUAUGGGAUGGGAAUGGUAUAGGUUUGGGAUUGGUAUGGUAUAGGCAUGGUGUGGGUAUGGGAUCGAUAUGGAAUGGGUAUGGUAUAGGUAUGGGAUGGUUAUGGGAUGGAUAUAUUAUAGUUAUGGGAUGGGUAUAGGAUGCGUAUGGUAUAGGUAUAUAAUGGCUGUGGUAUAGGUAUGGUAUAGGUAAGGGCAUGGCAUGAGUACAGUAUGGGGGGGGCACGGUGUAGGUUGGGGAAUGGAAUAGGUAAUGUAUGGGAUGGGUAUGGUGUAGGUAUGGGAUGGGUAUGGUGUAGGUAUGGGUAUGGGAUGGGUAUGGUGUAGGUAUGGGAUGGGUAUGGUGUAGGUAUGGGUAUGGGAUGGGUAUGGUGUAGGUAUGGGGAUGGGAUGGGUAUGGUGUAGGGAUGGGAUGGGAUGGGUAUGGUGUAGAGAUGGGAUGGGAUGGGUAUGGUGUAGGUAUGGGAAGGGAUGGGUAUGGGAUGGGUAUGGGGAUGGGAUGGGUAUGGUGUAGGGAUGGGAUGGGAUGGGUAUGGUGUAGGUAUGGGGAUGGGAUGGGUAUGGUGUAGGUAUGAGGUGGGAUGGGUAUGGUGUAGGUAUGGGAUGGGAUGGGUAUGGGAUGGGUAUGGGAAGGGAUGGGAUGGGAUGGGUAUGGUGUAGAUAUGGGUAUGGGAUGGGUAUGGUGUAGGUAUGAGGUGGGAUGGGUAUGGUGUAGGUAUGGGAUGGGAUGGGUAUGGGAUGGGUAUGGGAAGAGAUGGGAUGGGAUGGAUAUGGUGUAGAUAUGGGUAUGGGAUGGGUAUGGUGUAAGUAUGGGAUGGGAUGGGUAUGGUGUAGAUAUGUGUAUGGGAGGUGCAUGGGAUGGGUAUGGUGUAGGUAUGGGUACGGGGUGGGUAUGAUGUAGGUAUAGGAUGGGAUGGGUAUGGUGUAGGUAUGGGUACGGGGUGGGUAUGAUGUAGGUAUAGGAUGGGAUGGGUAUGGUGUAGGUAUGGGUACGGGGUGGUGUAGGAAUGGUGAGGUGGGGGCAUGGUGAGGGUGGGGGGGUCACAGCACAGGGUGGGCACUGCAAUGGCGCAGGUCCGGGAUUUGAUGCCGAACUGCUGUCGGCUCCUCAGUGCGGUGGGGGGGGGACUUCAGCUCAUCCCAGCGCGGCGUUCCGUCCCUCCUUCACCGCCAUCCGCGCUGUUGUGCACCGCUCCGAAAAGCCCCCACCGAACCGGGGGGUGGGGGGGGGGUUCAGGAUGGCCCACCCUCCACGACUCCUCCAUCACUUUCUGCAUCUGCGCCCCCCCCCGACAGCCACGGCUGCAGGGAUGGUGUCACAGCUCUGACAUCAGAGCCAAACCGUGACGUCACUCCCCAUCCCGUGACCACCCCCCACCCCCCCCAUCCCGGUGAUGUCAGCAGUCAC